GACGAACGCUGGCGGCGUGCUUAACACAUGCAAGUCGAACGGAAAGGCCCUGCUUUUGUGGGGUGCUCGAGUGGCGAACGGGUGAGUAACACGUGAGUAACCUGCCCUUGACUUUGGGAUAACUUCAGGAAACUGGGGCUAAUACCGGAUAGGAGCUCCUGCUGCAUGGUGGGGGUUGGAAAGUUUCGGCGGUUGGGGAUGGACUCGCGGCUUAUCAGCUUGUUGGUGGGGUAGUGGCUUACCAAGGCUUUGACGGGUAGCCGGCCUGAGAGGGUGACCGGCAACAUGGGGACUGAGAUACGGCCCAGACUCCUACGGGAGGCAGCAGUGGGGAAUAUUGCACAAUGGGCGGAAGCCUGAUGAAGAAACGCCGCGUGCGGGAUGACGGCCUUCGGGUUGUAAACCGCUUUCGCCUGUGACGAAGCGUGAGUGACGGUAAUGGGUAAAGAAGCACCGGCUAACUACGU
rnacentral:rRNA from 1 species